UUAAACCGUAGCGCCGGCCGAACACGGUCUAACAUUUUCACACGUUUGACUUUGUUAAACAACUGAUUUUCUUUUCUUAAAUUUUCCGUUGAAUGAAAAUUAAUUAAACUUGGAAAAACGCAAGCCAAUCAAACAAAAGGGGGAAGAAAAAAUCUCAAUACUUAAUAAAGCCAUGUGAUUUGGAAAAAAGAGUAAAAAAAAUUGUUAAAAAAUAAUACUUGAAAAAAAUCUAGUUAAUCCAUUACCCGUCUAGAACGACUAACGAAAUAAUUAAAUAUUUUAAAGCCAAGCUUUAAAAUAGAAUUCUAGAGAGGGAGAGCCGUUAAGCAACGAACGCAAGAGCGGGCUUAGUUCAAAUAUUUGUUUUUACUGUGCGUGCCAGUGUUUGUGAGAUUUGUUUCAAGCGCUUCUUUGUUUUUAUUUUCGAAAUAUCUGUUUUUUCUUUGGUUUGGUUAUUUUUUUUUAAACAAAACACAAAACAACAACCAGCUUGUGACGUUUUAUUUUGGCAGAAAAAAAGGCAUCACUUUAACCGCAAUAAUUAUUCGGCUAGAGCAGAGAAUUAAAAAAAAAUGAUAAUAACAAAUAAAUUGAUAAUAAUACUACGCUUGAAUUGAAUUUGUUUAAAGUUUUUUUUUGGCGCCUUUGCUGUUCAGUGUCAAUGAAAAUCUAAGAAAAUUUAUUAACACACAAAACAAAAUGCCAAUAACAAUAACCGCAACUGCAGCAGCAGCAGUAGCAGUAGCUCUGGCAACAACAACUACAACACCACCUUUGAAAUUGUGUUAAAAUAAUAACAAAAGAAAUAAGGCUUUUUUGUUUUUGUUGCUUAAAUUUGUAAUUGAGCUGCUCGAUAUGCUCGACAUGUAAAUACUGCAUUGUGUGCUGCGAAAGCGAGAGCGUGUGUGAACGCGAUUGUUUUUGUUUUUUCUACACCUCGUAACGAUGGAGCGUAUGAGUGUUUUUAAUUAAAGAUGUUGAAAACGGAAAUAUGGCAUACAACUAUAUAAAAUCCUUAUGAAGUGAAUAACAUAAGCCGAAUAUCUUCAAUAAUAAAAAUUUGAAAAAUAAACACAAAAAAAAAA